GGGGAUUUAGUUCAGUGGUAGAGCGUUCGCUUUGCACGGUCUUGAGACACGCUUGCGAAAAGUCGCCGGUUCAAUCCCGGCAGUCUCCA